AGAAAGCCCUGGAGUCCAGGCAUCCACACAGCCAUGACAUCUGAUCUAAUAUCCAAGUCACCUCAGAGCUGGGAGGAGUCUCAGAUGGUGUCAAGUUUCCAGGAUCGCCAAAGGAACUGAGAGAUUGCAAAGGUCAGUUUCAGAUGGGAAAAUCCUACGAUGAAUCUUGGAGGGAAUACCAGCUUUCACAACCGAGGCUUCCAA
rnacentral:lncRNA from 1 species